rnacentral:rRNA from 1 species
UGCAACCUACCUAUAACAGGAGGAUAGCUCGGGGAAACUCGAAUUAACCCUCCAUAAUAUAAUUGAAUGGCAUCAUUUGGUUAUUAAAACUCUGGUGGCUAUAGAUGGGCAUGCGUCUGAUUAGCUAGUUGGUAGUGUAACGGACUACCAAGGCGAUGAUCAGUAGGGGAACUGAGAGGUUGAUCCCCCACACUGGCACUGAGAUACGGGCCAG